rnacentral:rRNA from 1 species
UACGAAGGGGGCUAGCGUUGCUCGGAAUCACUGGGCGUAAAGGGUGCGUAGGCGGGUCUUUAAGUCGGGGGUGAAAGCCUGUGGCUCAACCACAGAAUUGCCUUCGAUACUGUUUGGCUUGAGACCGGAAGAGGUAAGUGGAACUGCGAGUGUAGAGGUGAAAUUCGUAGAUAUUCGCAAGAAUACCAGUGGCGAAGGCGGCUUACUGGUCCGGUUCUGACGCUGAGGCGCGAAAGCGUGGGGAGCAAACAGG